ensembl:lncRNA proline-rich protein 36-like
GGCGACGAGACGUUCAGCAGAAAUCUGAAUAAUGAUCCUGACAUCAUCGUGACACUCCUUCAGCCUGACUCAGUCUGCUCCUGAUGGAGGAGCCCCCCCAGCAGGUCCUCUUCCUGGGAACAGCCGGCUCCAGGAGCAUAAAUACAACCUCCAUCUUCAGCCCUCCAUCAGAGCUGCUUCACCCCUCCAUCUUCAGCCCUCCAUCAGAGCUGCUUCAGCCCUCCAUCAGAGCUGCUUCACCCCUCCAUCUUCACCCCUCCAUCAGAGCUGCUUCACCCCUCCAUCUUCAGCCCUCCAUCAGAGCUGCUUCAGCCCUCCAUCAGAGCUGCUUCACCCCUCCAUCUUCAGCCCUCCAUCAGAGCUGCUUCAGCCCUCCAUCAGAGCUGCUUCACCCCUCCAUCUUCACCCCUCCAUCAGAGCUGCUUCAGCCCUCCAUCAGAGCUGCUUCACCCCUCCAUCUUCACCCCUCCAUCAGAGCUGCUUCACCCCUCCAACUUCACCCCUCCAUCAGAGCUGCUUCACCCCUCCAUCUUCACCCCUCCAUCAGAGCUGCUUCACCCCUCCAACUUCACCCCUCCAUCAGAGCUGCUUCACCCCUCCAUCUUCACCCCUCCAUCUUCAGCCCUCCAUCAGAGCUGCUUCACCCCUCCAUCUUCACCCCUCCAUCAGAGCUGCUUCACCCCUCCAACUUCACCCCUCCAACUUCAGCCCUCCAUCUUCAGCCCUCCAUCAUGCAUUGUGGGUACCUGUUCUUACUGUCGCUGGCGUUGUGGGCGGAGCAUGCGGCAGGUAGGGUGUUACCAAUGGACUCAACAGACAUGCAGAGCAUCAUCGAGGACCUGCGGGAGGCGCUGCAGGAAUACAAGGCAGCGUUUAACAAUAAGGUGAGACACACACACACACACACACACACACACACACACACACACACACACGCACACACACACACACACUCCCUUCAGAAAACAUUUCACAGAGAGUUUGAAGCCACUGAGCAGGAAGUGAAGUUAUCUGCCUCAAUUACUCCGAGUGACGCAGAGACUUCAAUCGUUUGCAGGAUUCAUGUUGGAGCUUGUUGUUUAAAUACAUCUGGUCUGUUUGGAACAGUGUGACCUGAGCGGUACGACCCCGCUCUGCACAGAGACCGCCGCUCCGCUGGAACAGAGCUCCACGGUGGCCCAGAGACUGACUGAGUAUCAGGAGUGUGUGCCGCUCCAUUCUUUCUGUCCUGAUGUCAGUGUUCAUCUGGAUAAAGUCGAAAAACUGAACAUCGACCUGGUGCAACACCUGGUGAGUCUCUGUGCUCUGAUUGGCUGACUUAAAACGUGAUAGAAUUAUUGAUUAAAGAAGUCAGCUGUUUAAAAUAUAGUGUUCUCUAUACCUUUCUGAAAUAUGUGUGUGUGCGUGUUUACAGAAGGGGUUGUACCAAGAGCGCAGUAUCCCCUCCCCCACCUCGCCUUCAGUAUUAUUCAGCUCCGUACAGAAAUCCAUCCAGUGUGUUGACUGCUGGAGCCAGCAGGUGGCAGCACUGAGCAGAUAAAACACACACACACACACACAAAUAAAUAUUAUGAUUUUAAAUAAUGAUAAACUUUUAUUUUGUAAUUUUUACAAUCACUUCAGUGGACGUCCAACAGGAGGUGAUGUUUGCUCAGUGACGUAGAGAAGAAGACUAUUAUUAUUAUUUAGGGUUUUAUUUCCCAUCUUGAAAUACAUUCAAUGUUUUCCAUUUUAUUUAAUUGUCAUCUUAUUAUCUUCAUUAUUUGUCUGAUUUCCUUUAUUUUAAAGCACUUUGUGCUGCAUUUGUUUUAUAAAGGUGCUAUACAAGUGACGUGUAUUAUUAAUAUGAUUAUGAAUAUUAUCAUAAUUAUAAUACUAUUAAUAAUAUGUAAUAAUAAUAAAUAUGAGAAUUGGACGUUAAGGUGUUUAAAGAUCCUUCUUCAGGUUAUUUUUGGUUUCUUUGUAUAUUAAAAUAUAUUUUCUCUAUAAAUCUAGUUCUCAAAAUCACAACAUUUCACAUCUAUAAAUGCAGAAUUACUUUUUAAAGUCACAAUUCUAUAUA